rnacentral:rRNA from 1 species
GAUGAACGCUGGCGGCGUGCCUAAUACAUGCAAGUCGAGCGAACAGACGAGGAGCUUGCUCCUCUGACGUUAGCGGCGGACGGGUGAGUAACACGUGGAUAACCUACCUAUAAGACUGGGAUAACUUCGGGAAACCGGAGCUAAUACCGGAUAAUAUAUUGAACCGCAUGGUUCAAUAGUUAAAGACGGUUUUGCUGUCACUUAUAGAUGGAUCCGCGCCGCAUUAGCUAGUUGGUAAGGUAACGGCUUACCAAGGCAACGAUGCGUAGCCGACCUGAGAGGGUGAUCGGCCACACUGGAACUGAGACACGGUCCAGACUCCUACGGGAGGAAGCAGUAGGGAAUCUUCCGCAAUGGGCGAAAGCUUGACGGAGCAACGCCGCGUGAGUGAUGAAGGUCUUCGGAUCGUAAAACUCUGUUAUUAGGGAAGAAAAAAUGUGUAAGUAACUAUGCACGUAUUGACGGUAACUAAUCAGAAAGCCACGGCUAACUACGUG